AUUGAACGCUGGCGGCAUGCUUUACACAUGCAAGUCGAACGGCAGCGCGGGCUUCGGCCUGGCGGCGAGUGGGGAACGGGUGGGUAAUGCAUCGGAACGUGCCCAGUAUUGGGGGAUAGCCCGGCGAAAGCGGGAUUAAUCCCGCAUACGACCUGAGGGUGAAAGGGGGGGACCGAAAGGCCUCGCGCUAUUGGAGCGGCCGUUGUCGGAUUAGCUAGUUGGGGGGGUAAAGGCUUACCAAGGCGACGAUCCGUAGCUGGUCUGAGAGGACGACCAGCCACACUGGGACUGAGACACGGCCCAGACUCCUACGGGAGGCAGCAGUGGGGAAUUUUGGACAAUGGGGGCAACCCUGAUCCAGCCAUGCCGCGUGCGGGAAGAAGGCCUUCGGGUUGUAAACCGCUUUUGUUCGGGAAGAAAUCCUCUGGGCUAAUACCCCGGGGGGAUGACGGUACCGGAAGAAUAAGCACCGGCUAACUACGUG
rnacentral:rRNA from 1 species